AGUUAGGUCUCCAAGUUCGUUAACAACGUGGUGGUUGGUGGUAUUAGCGCUCUUUGUAUGGAUGCACUUAAUGGGUGCUUUGAUUGCGUCCAGCUGAUACUGUACAUCAUGCAAGCACUACGCAUAAUCCCAUUACAGGUACACAACAAGUCCACAUAUGUUCACUGGAGAUACUGAAAAUGAAUUUGCACGAAACCAAUUUUGGUGGUGGUCGGCGGCGGUGGGGCUGGUGGUGGUCUACGACGGCGGAUCUGGUGAUCCGUGGCGGAGGUGGUAAUCUUAAUUUUACUCUUGAGUGCGAAUGUUAUCAGCUUGGGAUGGAAAUAUAUACACCACCACAAUAGUUUUUAGAAAACAUUUUUAGCCCAAAAAGUGUAGGAAAAGAAAAAUUAAAACGCUACCAAUUUCAGUUUCAUAUAAAGUUGGUAAAACCGAUUUUGAUUUCAUGUAACUUUUCCUUAAUUUUUUUGAAAUUUUUCGGUGAAACCAACAUUGUUGGUAAUAAAUAGUAUUUUAUUGAAACAAGCAUUUAUUUCAUCUGCGUUUGAUCAAUAUUUUUUGAGGUUUUAUUGACGAAACUAAACUUUUCUAAGUGAUUUUUUUUGUUGAAACAAUUUUGGUUUCAUCUGAUUUGUUUUUUAUUUUCUAUGAAACCAGUUUUGGUUUCAUCAAUAUUUCAUUAAUGAUACAGAGAUGAAUUGUUUUUUGAUGAAACCAGUUUUGGUUUCAUCAAAAAUUUAGUUACGCAGGUGAUGGUAUUGGCAGUUGUGGUGCUACUGGGGGUGGUAAUGGCGGUGGUGUUGUUGACAUCGGCGGUGGUUGGCGUUGGUGGUUGCUAGUGGUGGUUGGAUUUGUUCUAAGAGGCGACGGUGGUGGUUUUAUGAAUAUUUGGUGGUGGUGGGUGGUGGAUGACGUUACCAUAAGUUGCUGGUUGGUGGUGGCGGUGGUAUGUGAGAUGGUCGACGACAUUGGCGGUGGUCCGUGAUAAUGGUGGUCGGCAUCGGCGAUGGUAGAGUCAAUUCCUAACUUAAGCAGAAGUAUUAGAAGAAGGUGUGGGAGGAGGAAGCAGAGAAAAAAUGUGGGGAUACCUUAAUGCUUUGGAAUUGCCUUAUAAAAGUAACCAGUUAUAAGGGAGGUUGGUUUAGUAGAGGGGCGGUAGUGUGAUAGUAAUGUCCCUCUAGUUGGUUAGAAGAUGUCCUAUAAAAGGUGUAAAUUAACUAGAUUAAGCUCCCCAUUUUUUAACCUAAAUCAAAGCUAAAUUGAAAAUUUGUUUUCUUUA